rnacentral:rRNA from 1 species
UGCGGAAGGAUCAUUAUUGAAAUAAACCUGAUGGGUUGUUGCUGGUUCUCUAGGGAGCAUGUGCACACCUUGUCAUCUUUAUAUCUCCACCUGUGCACUUCUUGUAGGCCUUUCAGGUCUAUGUUUCUUCAUUUACUCCAAUGUAUGUCAAUAGAAUGUUGUGCCUAUAUAAUAUAUACAACUUUCAGCAACGGAUCUCUUGGCUCUCGCAUCGAUGAAGAACGCAGCGAAAUGCGAUAAGUAAUGUGAAUUGCAGAAUUCAGUGAAUCAUCGAAUCUUUGAACGCACCUUGCGCUCCUUGGUAUUCCGAGGAGCAUGCCUGUUUGAGUGUCAUUAAUAUAUAUAUAUCAAACUUCUCUUGUUGAGUGGUUUGGAUGUGGGGGUUUUUGCUGGGCCUCUUUUUUAAGGGUUCAGCUCCCCUGAAAUGCAUUAGCAGAACAACCCUGUUCAUUGGUGUGAUAACUAUCUACGCUAUUGAAUGUGAGGGGCAGUUCAGCUUUCUAACAGUCCUUGGACAAAUUCAUCAUUAAUGUGACCUCAAAUCAGGUAGGACUACCCGCUGAACUUAA